CGAACGGUCGGGGGUGGUAACGCAACGGAAAGUGCCACAGAAAAAAUGCGGCCCGCUAGGCUAAGGGUGAAAAGGUGCGGUAAGAGCGCACCGCGCGCCUGGCGACAGGCGUGGCAGGCCAAACCCCCUCCGGAGCAAGGCCAAAUAGGGACUGAGAGACGGCCCGUCUCGCUGAAGUCCGGGUAGGCCGCUGGAGCUGUUCGGCAACGUCCAGCCUAGACGAAUGACUGCGACUGGCUUUCGGGCCAGCACAAAACCCGGCUUAUCGGAUCACAAAGACG
rnacentral:RNase_P_RNA from 1 species